GAUGAACGCUGGCGGCGUGCCUAAUACAUGCAAGUCGAGCGAACGGACGCGAAGCUUGCUUUUUUGAUGUUAGCGGCGGACGGGUGAGUAACACGUGGAUAACCUCCCUAUAAGACUGGGAUCACUUCGGGAAACCGGCGCUAAUACCGGAGAAUAUUUUGAACCGCAUGGUUCAAAAGUGAGAGACGGUCUUGCUGUCACUUAUAGCUGGAUCCGCGCUGCAUUAGCUAGUUGGUAAGGUAACGGCUUACCAAGGCAACGAUGCAUAGCCGACGUGAGAGGGGGAUCGGCGACCCUGGAGCGGAGACACCGUCCAGACUCCUGCGGGAGGCAGCAGUAGGGAAUGGUACGCAAUGGGCGAAAGCCUGACGGAGCAAGGCCGCGUGAGUGAUGAAGGUGCUCGGAGCGUAAAAAUCUGUUAUUAGGGAAGAACAGAUGUGGAAGGAACUGUGCACAUAGUGACGGUACCGAAUCAGAAAGCAACGGCUAACUACGUG
rnacentral:rRNA from 1 species